AACGAACGCUGGCGGCAUGCCUAACACAUGCAAGUCGAACGAAGUCUUCGGACUUAGUGGCGCACGGGUGCGUAACGCGUGGGAAUCUGCCCUUGGGUGCGGAAUAACUUCUCGAAAGGGAUGCUAAUACCGCAUAAUGUCGUAAGACCAAAGAUUUAUCGCCCAAGGAUGAGCCCGCGUAAGAUUAGCUAGUUGGUGGGGUAAAAGCCUACCAAGGCGACGAUCUUUAGCUGGUCUGAGAGGAUGAUCAGCCACACUGGGACUGAGACACGGCCCCAGACUCCUACGGGAGGCAACAGUGGGGAAUAUUGGACAAUGGGCGAAAGCCUGAUCCAGCAAUGCCGCGUGAGUGAUGAAGGCCC
rnacentral:rRNA from 1 species